rnacentral:rRNA from 1 species
UACGUAGGGUGCGAGCGUUGUCCGGAAUUAUUGGGCGUAAAGAGCUUGUAGGUGGUUUGUCGCGUCUGCUGUGAAAAUCCGAGGCUCAACCUCGGACUUGCAGUGGGUACGGGCAGACUAGAGUGUGGUAGGGGAGACUGGAAUUCCUGGUGUAGCGGUGAAAUGCGCAGAUAUCAGGAGGAACACCGGUGGCGAAGGCGGGUCUCUGGGGCCGAUACUGACGUGAGGAGCGAAAGCGUGGGGAGCGAACAGG